rnacentral:rRNA from 1 species
AGUGAACGCUGGCGGUAGGCCUAACACAUGCAAGUCGAACGGCAGCACAGUAAGAGCUUGCUCUUACGGGUGGCGAGUGGCGGACGGGUGAGGAAUACAUCGGAAUCUACUUUUUCGUGGGGGAUAACGUAGGGAAACUUACGCUAAUACCGCAUACGACCUACGGGUGAAAGCAGGGGAUCUUCGGACCUUGCGCGAUUGAAUGAGCCGAUGUCGGAUUAGCUAGUUGGCGGGGUAAAGGCCCACCAAGGCGACGAUCCGUAGCUGGUCUGAGAGGAUGAUCAGCCACACUGGAACUGAGACACGGUCCAGACUCCUACGGGAGGCAGCAGUGGGGAAUAUUGGACAAUGGGCGCAAGCCUGAUCCAGCCAUACCGCGUGGGUGAAGAAGGCCUUCGGGUUGUAAAGCCCUUUUGUUGGGAAAGAAAAGCAGCAGGUUAAGACCCCGCUGUUCUGACGGUACCCAAAGAAUAAGCACCGGCUAACUUC